AUGGCCGUCACCGCCAGCAAACUUAGGGCGGACGCGCCGCAGUACGUCUACCACGGCAACCUCCAGCUUCCUCCACUCCCGCCUCCUUGCCACAAGACGGCCAUGGGCGGCCCCCUCCCUCCACCCCCGUCUCCUCAUCACGAGACGGCGAUGGGCGGCCCCCAGUACAGCGCCGCGGCCUGCUCGAUGACUUUCCCGGUCUUCGCCAGCUACCCGCCCCCGCCCCCGCCAUACGUUCCCGCUCCCGGACCAAUCUACGGCGUCCCUCAGCCACCGCAGCCGGCAUUCCGGUGUCAUGUCCACUUCGCUCCCCCCUCGCUGCUGCGUUCAACCGCGCCGCCGCGCCGCCUCGGCAAGGUUCCCCCCUCGCUGCUGCGUCCAACCGCGCCGCAGUGCCGCCUCGGCAAGGUUCCCCCCUCGCUGCUGCGUCCGACCGCGCCGCAGUGCCGCCUCGGCAAGGUUCCCCCCUCGCUGCUGCGUCCGACCGCGCCGCAGUGCCGCCUCGGCAAGGUUCCCCCCUCGCUGCUGCGUCCAACCGCGCCGCACUGCCGCCUCGGCAAGGCUGUCCCCUCGGCGCCACCAAAGCAGGCAACGGUGGAGACUUUCCCCGGCAAGGAAGCCCCCUCGCCGCCGCUGCCGGCUGCGCCGGUGCCUUGGAGCACCGAGGCUGUCCCCACGUCGCCACCGCCCACAGCGCCGGUGCCCUCGAGCCGCAAGGCUCCGGAAGUUUCGGCGCGGCCGCACGGCCUCCCUCCGCACAGGCUCAUGUUUUGGGCCGUGGACGUGGACGCCGAGAAGAAGCAGGCGCAGGCGGCGGCCAUCGCGGGGGCGGCCCAGUCCGUGAAGCCUCGCGGAAGGAAGGCCGGGCCGGGUCGGAUGCAGGCGCAGCAGCACAGGACGGGGAGGAGAAGGAGCAGUGAGCUCGGGCGCCGGCAGGCGAAGGCGGCGCCAGCCGAGGUCGCCUGCAAGCCGGCGUUCACGACGAGGCCGCCGACGCCGAGGCCCGCGCCGGAGUGGAGCGACCCGCAGGUCACCACCGUCAUGAUCCGGAACAUCCCCAACAGGCUCAAGCCGGCGGAGAUGAUGCAGUUGCUGGACGACCACUGCGCCCGCGAGAACAGGGAGGAGAAGCGCGGCGACGUGCCCGCCGCCUACGAUUUCCUCUACCUGCCCAUGGAUUUCAGCUUGUGCUGCAACCUGGGGUACGCGUUCGUGAACCUCACGUCGGCGCAGGCGGCGCGCGUGCUCCACUCCGCCCUGCACGGCGCCCGCUGGACGGUGUUCGGCACCAACAAGGUCAUCGACAUCUGCGCCGCGCGUAUCCAGGGCAAGAGGGCGCUGGUGAAGCACUUCAGCAACUCGACCUUCCCGUGCGCCACCGACGACUGGCUCCCCGCCGUCUUCUCACCGCCGCGCGACGGCGCCGCCGACCCGUCCGUCGCCGGCGAGGCCACGCGCGUCGGCACCCGCGUCACUCCCGCCACUCCCCUGCGGGCCACGCCACGGGCGCAGCGGCUGGCAGGCAAGCCCGUGGCCCGUGGGCGUCGCCAGCGCGGGGUCAUGAAGCCGAGCAGCGCAACAAGCUGCGCGGAGGGAAGGCUGUUGGACUCUGGACAUGAGCAAGCAUCGCACUGCUCUACCACGGAAAUUUCUUUGUCUCCACUUAGAAAUCGCCAUGAAAUUUCUCCUCAUGUGUCUUGUUCAAAGCAAAAGACUGUCUGGUGUCUGGUCGCCGAGUCGCCAUUGGCCCAGGCAUUGUACGGUACCUCCCGUGCUGCAAGCUCUCUGUUUGUGGGUUGGAAGUUGGAACUAGAAGCUAGUCUGUGGUGCUUUCGGACUGCCGGUACUAGCAUGGCAUGCAUGUUUAUCCGUUUGUACCAGAAGAAUCUCUGUCGCUCUGUCCAUGUGAUUCCAUGGUCGCCAUUAAAUGGGGCAAGCAAAAAGGUUUGUGUCUUCCCAUGUUGGACAAGCGCAGGUAGCAGGAGCAUGCAUGACUUUGAUCAUACUUUGAGCUUCCGAGUAAGGUCCAUCGGCCAAAGUGAGGUCACAAACAAUCUUGAUGUGUCCCUGUUCGCCUCCUCUUUUUUCCGCCCUCCAUCUCCCACUGCACAACCAUAUAAUCUCUUCAUCGUCAUCGUCUUGGAGAGCUUCAGUAUCUGA
rnacentral:rRNA from 1 species